CUCCGGUGAUCCCGCCGGGACCCGACUGCUAUCAGAGUGGGACUAAGCCAUGCGAGUCAACAUAGCAAUAUGUGGCAUACGGCUCAGUAACACGUAGUCAACAUGCCCAGGGGACGUGGAUAACCUCGGGAAACUGAGGAUAAACCGCGAUAGGUCAUCACUUCUGGAAUGGGUAAUGACUUAAAUCUAUAUGGCCCCUGGAUUGGACUGCGGCCGAUCAGGCUGUUGGUGAGGUAAUGGCCCACCAAACCUGUAACCGGUACGGGCUCUGAGAGGAGGAGCCCGGAGAUGGGCACUGAGACAAGGGCCCAGGCCCUAUGGGGCGCAGCAGGCGCGAAACCUCUGCAAUAGGCGAAAGCUUGACAGGGUUACUCUGAGUGAUUUCCGUUAAGGAGAUCUUUUGGCACCUCUAAAAAUGGUGCAGAAUAAGGGGUGGGCAAGUCUGGUGUCAGCCGCCGCGGUAAUACCAGCACCCCGAGUGGUCGGGACGUUUAUUGGGCCUAAAGCAUCCGUAGCCGGUUCUACAAGUCUUCCGUUAAAUCCACCUGCUUAACAGAUGGGCUGCGGAAGAUACUAUAGAGCUAGGAGGCGGGAGAGGCAAGCGGUACUCGAUGGGUAGGGGUAAAAUCCGUUGAUCCAUUGAAGACCACCAGUGGCGAAGGCGGCUUGCCAGAACGCGCUCGACGGUGAGGGAUGAAAGCUGGGGGAGCAAACCGGAUUAGAUACCCGGGUAGUCCCAGCUGUAAACGAUGCAGACUCGGUGAUGAGUUGGCUUAUUGCUAACUCAGUGCCGCAGGGAAGCCGUUAAGUUUGCCGCCUGGGGAGUACGGUCGCAAGACUGAAACUUAAAGGAAUUGGCGGGGGAGCA
rnacentral:rRNA from 1 species